rnacentral:rRNA from 1 species
GAUGAACGCUAGCGGCGGGCUUAAUACAUGCCAGUCAAGGGGUAGCAAUACACCGGCGUACGGGUGCGUAACGCGUAUGGAACCUGCCCUUAUCUGGGGGAUAACUCGGGGAAACUCGAGCUAAUACCGCAUAAGAUAGUAGAAUGGCAUCAUUCAGCUAUUAAAGAUUUAUCGGAUAAGGAUGGCCAUGCGUAAGAUUAGAUAGUUGGUGGGGUAACGGCUCACCAAGUCUACGAUCUUUAGGGGCUCGGAGAGGAGAAUCCCCCACACUGGCACUGAGAUACGGGCCAGACGACUACGGGAGGCAGCAGUAGGGAAUAUUGGGCAAUGGGCGGAAGCCUGACCCAGCCACGCCGCGUGCAGGAAGAAGGCCCUCUGGGUUGUAAACUGCUUUUGAUUGGGAAGAAAGCAUCUCAUGCGUGGGAUUUUGACGGUACCAAUCGGAUAAGCCACGGCUAACUACGUGCCAGCCGCCGCGGUAACAC